UACGAAGGGGGCUAGCGUUGUUCGGAUUUACUGGGCGUAAAGCGCACGUAGGCGGAUCGUUAAGUUGGGGGUGAAAUCCUGGAGCUCAACUCCAGAACUGCCUUCAAUACUGGCGAUCUAGAGUCCGGAAGAGGUGAGUGGAACUCCUAGUGUAGAGGUGGAAUUCGUAGAUAUUAGGAAGAACACCAGUGGCGAAGGCGGCUCACUGGUCCGGUACUGACGCUGAGACGCGAAAGCGUGGGGAGCAAACAGG
rnacentral:rRNA from 1 species